rnacentral:rRNA from 1 species
CGAAGGGGGCUAGCGUUGUUCGGAAUUACUGGGCGUAAAGCGCGCGUAGGCGGUGAUCCAUGUCAGAGGUGAAAGCCCGGAGCUCAACUCCGGAACUGCCUUUGAAACGGGACCGCUAGAGUCCGAGAGAGGAUGGCGGAAUUCCUAGUGUAGAGGUGAAAUUCGUAGAUAUUAGGAAGAACACCGGUGGCGAAGGCGGCCAUCUGGCUCGGUACUGACGCUCAGGCGCGAAAGCGUGGGGAUCAAACAGGAUUAGAUACCCUGGUAGUCCACGCUGUAAACGAUGAGUGCUAGUUGUUGGGGUAUUUAUAUCUCAGUGACGAAGCUAACGCGAUAAGCACUCCGCCUGGGGAGUACGGCCGCAAGGUUA